rnacentral:rRNA from 1 species
ACGCUGGCGGCGUGCCUAAUACAUGCAAGUAGAACGCUGAAGAGAGGAGCUUGCUCUUCUUGGAUGAGUUGCGAGCGGGUGAGUAACGCGUAGGUAACCUGCCUUGUAGCGGGGGAUAACUAUUGGAAACGAUAGCUAAUACCGCAUAACAAUGGAUGACACAUGUCAUUUAUUUGAAAGGGGCAAUUGCUCCACUACAAGAUGGACCUGCGUUGUAUUAGCUAGUAGGUGAGGUAACGGCUCACCUAGGCGACGAUACAUAGCCGACCUGAGAGGGUGAUCGGCCACACUGGGACUGAGACACGGCCCAGACUCCUACGGGAGGCAGCAGUAGGGAAUCUUCGGCAAUGGGGGCAACCCUGACCGAGCAACGCCGGGUGAGUGAAGAAGGUUUUCGGAUCGUAAAGCUCUGUUGUAAGUCAAGAACGAGUGUGAGAGUGGAAAGUUCACACUGUGACGGUAGCUUACCAGAAAGGGACGGCUAACUACGUGCCAGCAGCCGCGGUAAUACGUAGGUCCCGAGCGUUGUCCGGAUUUAUUGGGCGUAAAGCGAGCGCAGGCGGUUUGAUAAGUCUGAAGUUAAAGGCUGUGGCUCAACCAUAGUUCGCUUUGGAAACUGUCAAACUUGAGUGCAGAAGGGGAGAGUGGAAUUCCAUGUGUAGCGGUGAAAUGCGUAGAUAUAUGGAGGAACACCGGUGGCGAAAGCGGCUCUCUGGUCUGUAACUGACGCUGAGGCUCGAAAGUGUGGGGAGCGAACAGGAUUAGAUACCCUGGUAGUCCACGCCGUAAACGAUGAGUGCUAGGUGUUGGAUCCUUUCCGGGAUUCAGUGCCGCAGCUAACGCAUUAAGCACUCCGCCUGGGGAGUACGACCGCAAGGUUGAAACUCAAAGGAAUUGACGGGGGCCCGCACAAGCGGUGGAGCAU